GACGUAGGGCGCGAGCGUUGUCCGGAUUUAUUGGGCGUAAAGAGCUCGUAGGCGGCUUGUUGCGUCGACUGUGAAAACCUGCGGCUCAACCGUGUGGUCUGCAGUCGAUACGGGCAGGCUGGAGUUCGGUAGGGGAGACUGGAAUUCCUGGUGUAGCGGUGAAAUGCGCAGAUAUCAGGAGGAACACCGGUGGCGAAGGCGGC
rnacentral:rRNA from 1 species